GACGGAGGGGGCUAGCGUUGUUCGGAAUUACUGGGCGUAAAGGGCUCGUAGGCGGCCAACUAAGUCAGACGUGAAAUCCCUCGGCUUAACCGGGGAACUGCAUCUGAUACUGGAUGGCUUGAGUUCGGGAGAGGGAUGCGGAAUUCCAGGUGUAGCGGUGAAAUGCGUAGAUAUCUGGAGGAACACCGGUGGCGAAGGCGGCAUCCUGGACCGACACUGACGCUGAGGAGCGAAAGCCAGGGGAGCAAACGGG
rnacentral:rRNA from 1 species